rnacentral:rRNA from 1 species
GGAAGUAAAAGUCGUAACAAGGUUUCCGUAGGUGAACCUGCGGAAGGAUCAUUAUUGAAUUAAUGUAGAGUUUGGUUGUAGCUGGCUCCUAAUUAAACUUGGGGGCAUGUGCACACCUUUCUCUUUCAUCCCAUACACACCUGUGCACCUGUGAGACAGAUGUUUUGUGGGGGGGAAGGAACUUUAUUGGACCUUCUACUCCCCCUUGACUUCUGUCUACUUAAUUCAUAUAAACUCAAUUUAUUUUAAAACGGAUGUAAUGGAUGUAACACAUCUAAUACUAAGUUUCAACAACGGAUCUCUUGGCUCUCGCAUCGAUGAAGAACGCAGCGAAAUGCGAUAAGUAAUGUGAAUUGCAGAAUUCAGUGAAUCAUCGAAUCUUUGAACGCACCUUGCGCUCCUUGGUAUUCCUUGGAGCAUGCCUGUUUGAGUAUCAUGAAAUCUUCAAAGUCAAACCUUUUGUUAAUUCAAUUGGUUCUGCUUUGGUAUUGGAGGAUUAUUGCAGCUUCACACCUGCUCCUCUUUGUGCAUUAGCUGGAUCUCAGUGUUAUGCUUGGUUCCACUCAGCGUGAUAAGUUAUCUAUCGCUGAGGACACCCUGUUAAAAAGGGGUGGCCAAGGUAAAUGCAGAUGAACCGCUUCUAAUAGUCCAUUGACUUGGACAAUAUCUAAUUUAUGAUCUGAUCUCAAAUCAGGUAGGACUACCCGCUGAACUUAAGCAUAUCAAUAAGCGGAGGA